rnacentral:rRNA from 1 species
UACAUAGGGUGCAAGCGUUGUCCGGAAUUAUUGGGCGUAAAGCGUGCGCAGGCGGUUUUGUAAGUCAGAUGUGAAAUCCCCGGGCUUAACCUGGGAACUGCGUUUGAAACUACAAGGCUAGAGUGUAGCAGAGGGGGGUGGAAUUCCACGUGUAGCAGUGAAAUGCGUAGAGAUGUGGAGGAACACCGAUGGCGAAGGCAGCCCCCUGGGUUAACACUGACGCUCAGGCACGAAAGCGUGGGGAGCAAACAGG